UGGAGCAUGUGGUUUAAUUCGAUGCAACGCGAAGAACCUUACCUGGGCUUGACAUCCCGAUCGCACCUUAUGGAAACAUAGGGGUCAGUUCGGCUGGAUCGGUGACAGGUGCUGCAUGGCUGUCGUCAGCUCGUGUCGUGAGAUGUUGGGUUAAGUCCCGCAACGAGCGCAACCCUUGUCCUUAGUUGCCAGCAUUCAGUUGGGCACUCUAAGGAGACUGCCGGUGUCAAACCGGAGGAAGGUGGGGAUGACGUCAAGUCCUCAUGGCCCUUAUGUCCAGGGCUACACACGUGCUACAAUGGCCGGUACAAAGGGGCGCAAGACCGCGAGGUGGAGCAAAUCCCAAAAAACCGGUCUCAGUUCGGAUUGGAGUCUGCAACUCGACUCCAUGAAGUUGGAAUCGCUAGUAAUCGCGUAUCAGCAUGACCGCGGUCGAAUACGUUCCCGGGCCUU
rnacentral:rRNA from 1 species